rnacentral:rRNA from 1 species
CCUACGGGAGGCAGCAGUGGGGAAUAUUGCACAAUGGGCGAAAGCCUGACGCAGCAACGCCGCGUGCGGGAUGACGGCCUUCGGGUUGUAAACCGCUUUUCGGGGGGAAGAGGAAGGACGGUACCCCCGGAAGAAGUCUCGGCUAACUACGUGCCAGCAGCCGCGGUAAU